rnacentral:rRNA from 1 species
ACGAACGCUGGCGGCGUGCCUCAUACAUGCCAGUUGAGCGCUGAAGGUUGGUACUUGUACCAACUGGAUGAGCAGCGAACGGGUGAGUAACGCGUGGGGAAUCUGCCUUUGAGCGGGGGACAACAUUUGGAAACGAAUGCUAAUACCGCAUAAAAACUUUAAACACAAGUUUUCAGUUUGAAAGAUGCAAUUGCAUCACUCAAAGAUGAUCCCGCGUUGUAUUAGCUAGUUGGUGAGGUAAAGGCUCACCAAGGCGAUGAUACAUAGCCGACCUGAGAGGGUGAUCGGCCACAUUGGGACUGGGACACGGCCCAAACUCCCACGGGAGGCAGCAGUAGGGAAACUUCGGCAAUGGACGAAAGUCUGACCGAGCAACGCCGCGGGAGUGAAGAAGGUUUUCGGAUCGUAAAACUCUGUUGGUAGAGAAGAACGUUGGUGAGAGUGGAAAGCUCAUCAAGUGACGGUAACUACCCAGAAAGGGACGGCUAACUACGUG